rnacentral:tRNA from 1 species
AUUUAAAUAGUUUAAUAAAAAUAUUGAUUUGUGGAAUCAAGGAUAUACUUAUAAUAUUUUAAAUA